rnacentral:rRNA from 1 species
UACGUAGGGGCAAGCGUUGUCCGGAUUUAUUGGGCGUAAAGAGCGUGUAGGCGGCUUUACAGGUCCGUUGUGAAAACUCGAGGCUCAACCUCGAGACGCCGGUGGAAACCGUAAAGCUAGAGUCCGGAAGAGGAGAGUGGAAUUCCUGGUGUAGCGGUGAAAUGCGCAGAUAUCAGGAGGAACACCCGUGGCGAAAGCGGCUCUCUGGGACGGUACUGACGCUGAGACGCGAAAGCGUGGGGAGCGAACAGG